rnacentral:lncRNA from 1 species
AGUGACCCAGAGGCGGUGUGAGGCGGAGGGACCGUCGGGGGGCGCCGCCGCCGCCUCCACUAGCAGCAGCGGCAGCAGCCCUAGUCCCGCGGUGCGGUCGAAUUGGUCCCCAGCCCUCCGGGAGCGCACCACAAAGCAGCCCCAACGCCUCUCCCUGCGUCCGCGGCUCCUCAGCGCUCGGCUCCGUGGUCAACUUCCCCUCGCUGGGCUCGGCUGGCGGGCGCGGAGGGCAGCGGCGGAACGGCGGGCUGUCUGCUCGCGCUCCCCGCGCACAACACUUCACCCUCUCGCCUCGGGUCUCGGGGGCCGCUCUGGGAUCCCGGCCACCAGCAAUUGUCCGGAAAUAAUGCAAAAGGUGUCCCAAGGCUCCUGACCAGUGAACAAAGAUUUGAGAAAGACAGCCAAGCUCAUGUUUUCUCCUGAUCAAGAAAAUCAUCCAUCUAAAGCACCAGUAAAAUAUGGUGAACUCAUUGUCUUAGGAAGUGAAGCUGGACAAGGUUUCAUGCUGUUGCUGCUUAGAAAAGAGCUUUGAACUACAGGAACGCAAUGUGGGACUAAAGAGCAAGAUCCAGAAGUGGGAUGAGUCAUGCAACUCAGAGGAC